CGCCUGGGGAGUACGGCCGCAAGGUUAAAACUCAAAUGAAUUGACGGGGGCCCGCACAAGCGGUGGAGCAUGUGGUUUAAUUCGAUGCAACGCGAAGAACCUUACCUGGUCUUGACAUCCACAGAACUUUCCAGAGAUGGAUUGGUGCCUUCGGGAACUGUGAGACAGGUGCUGCAUGGCUGUCGUCAGCUCGUGUUGUGAAAUGUUGGGUUAAGUCCCGCAACGAGCGCAACCCUUAUCCUUUGUUGCCAGCGGUCCGGCCGGGAACUCAAAGGAGACUGCCAGUGAUAAACUGGAGGAAGGUGGGGAUGACGUCAAGUCAUCAUGGCCCUUACGACCAGGGCUACACACGUGCUACAAUGGCGCAUACAAAGAGAAGCGACCUCGCGAGAGCAAGCGGACCUCAUAAAGUGCGUCGUAGUCCGGAUUGGAGUCUGCAACUCGACUCCAUGAAGUCGGAAUCGCUAGUAAUCGUGGAUCAGAAUGCCACGGUGAAUACGUUCCCGGGCCUUGUACACACCGCCCGUCACACCAUGGGAGUGGGUUGCAAAAGAAGUAGGUAGCUUAACCUUCGGGAGGGCGCUUACCACUUUGUGAUUCAUGACUGGGGUGAAGUCGUAACAAGGUAACCGUAGGGGAACCUGCGGUUGGAUCACCUCCUUACCUUAAAGAAGC
rnacentral:rRNA from 1 species